UGGUUCUGGCACCGAUGAAGAACGCAGCGAAAUGCGAUAAGUAAUGUGAAUUGCAGAAUUCCGCGAAUCAUCGAAUCUUUGAACGCACAUUGCGCCCGCUAGCUCUCUAGCGGGCAUGCCUGUUCGAGCGUCAUUUCACCGAAAGAGCCCCCCCCUCCUGGGCUUGCGUUGGGACGCCACGGCCCCUCUCAGGGCCGUGUGUCCCGAAAUACAGCGGCGGACCCCCCCGAACCUCAGCGUAGUAAUCACGUCGCUUCAGGGCCUCGGCGCGGGUGGCUUGCCCCUAAACUCGGGCGGUGGGCGCUGCGGCGGCCCCCUCCGACAUCACUGGUUGACCUCGGAUCAGGUAGGAAUACCCGCUGA
rnacentral:misc_RNA from 1 species